rnacentral:rRNA from 1 species
GAUGAACGCUGGCGGCGUGCCUAAUACAUGCAAGUAGAACGCUGAAGGAGGAGCUUGCUCUUCUGGAUGAGUUGCGAACGGGUGAGUAACGCGUAGGUAACCUGCCUGGUAGCGGGGGAUAACUAUUGGAAACGAUAGCUAAUACCGCAUGACAACAGUUAUUGCAUGAUAACUGUUUAAAAGGGGCAACUGCUCCACUACCAGAUGGACCUGCGUUGUAUUAGCUAGUUGGUGAGGUAACGGCUCACCAAGGCGACGAUACAUAGCCGACCUGAGAGGGUGAUCGGCCACACUGGGACUGAGACACGGCCCAGACUCCUACGGGAGGCAGCAGUAGGGAAUCUUCGGCAAUGGACGGAAGGCUGACCGAGCAACGCCGCGUGAGUGAAGAAGGAUUUCGGAUCGUAAAGCUCUGUUGUAAGAGAAGAACGAGUGUGAGAGUGGAAAGUUCACACUGUGACGGUAUCUUAACAGAAAGGGACGGCUAACUACGUG